UACGGAGGGUGCUAGCGUUGUUCGGAAUCACUGGGCGUAAAGGGCGCGUAGGCGGUCUGGUAAGCGUGUGGUGAAAGCUCGGGGCUCAACCCCGAGUCGGCCGUGCGAACUGCUGGACUGGAGCAUGUCAGAGGCAGGCGGAAUUCCGGGUGUAGCGGUGGAAUGCGUAGAGAUCCGGAAGAACACCGGUGGCGAAGGCGGCCUGCUGGGACAUGGCUGACGCUGAGGCGCGACAGCGUGGGGAGCAAACAGG
rnacentral:rRNA from 1 species